rnacentral:siRNA from 1 species
UGGUUAAUUGGGUUCAUA